UAUAUCGUUGAUAUCUUCUACUGGCGCUGGGUUGAUACUAGUUUGGUAGAAAUUGAUCGAAGCUGCGUGAAGAAUCCAGAUUAUCAACAAAUAUCACAUCAGUAUACUUCAGCUGCAGUUGAUGUACGCACGUGUAUGCCCCUAGCCUAAGGGAGCACACAGCACGUGGAGAUUCAGAACAAACACGUGCUUGUGUUUAUUACCUGUUUCGAAAACACAUUCAAAUUUUAAAAGACAAAUCCAAAAUGACGUGGAUACAAUGUCAAGUCUGUGAGGAAGAAACAUCGAAGUAUAAAUGUCCAAAAUGUGCCCUGCAGUAUUGUUCUGUUGGCUGCUACAAAAACCACAAAGG